rnacentral:rRNA from 1 species
GACGAACGCUGGCGGCGCGCUUAACACAUGCAAGUCGAACGGAAAGGCCCUGCUUUUGUGGGGUGCUCGAGUGGCGAACGGGUGAGUAACACGUGAGUAACCUGCCCUUGACUUUGGGAUAACUUCAGGAAACUGGGGCUAAUACCGGAUAGGAGCUCCUGCUGCAUGGUGGGGGUUGGAAAGUUUCGGCGGUUGGGGAUGGACUCGCGGCUUAUCAGCUUGUUGGUGGGGUAGUGGCUUACCAAGGCUUUGACGGGUAGCCGGCCUGAGAGGGUGACCGGCCACAUUGGGACUGAGAUACGGCCCAGACUCCUACGGGAGGCAGCAGUGGGGAAUAUUGCACAGUGGGCGGAAGCCUGAUGCAGCAACGCCGCGUGCGGGAUGACGGCCUUCGGGUUGUAAACCGCUUUCGCCUGUGACGAAGCGUGAGUGACGGUAAUGGGUAAAGAAGCACCGGCUAACUACGUG